CUCGCUGUUGGCGAUAUACUGUCAGCGGCCAAGCGAAAGUAUUAAGUGAUGCACCUGGGGAGUACGCCGGCAACGGUGAAACUCAAAGGAAUUGACGGGGGCCCGCACAAGCGGUGGAGCAUGUGGUUUAAUUCGAUGAUACGCGAGGAACCUUACCAGGGCUUAAAUGUAGUAUGACCGGCUUAGAAAUAGGCCUUCUCUUCGGAGCAGAUUACAAGGUGCUGCAUGGUUGUCGUCAGCUCGUGCCGUGAGGUGUUAGGUUAAGUCCUGCAACGAGCGCAACCCCUAUUCUUAGUUGCCAGCGGUUCGGCCGGGGACUCUAAGGAGACUGCCAGCGCAAGCUGAGAGGAAGGUGGGGAUGACGUCAAAUCAUCACGGCCCUUACGUCCUGGGCUACACACGUGCUACAAUGGUAGAGACAGAGGGCAGCCACCUGGUGACAGGGAGCGAAUCCUUAAACUCUAUCUCAGUUCGGAUCGAAGUCUGCAACUCGACUUCGUGAAGCUGGAAUCGCUAGUAAUCGCGCAUCAGCCAUGGCGCGGUGAAUACGUUCCCGGGCCUUGUACACACCGCCCGUCAAGCCAUGGAAGCUGGGGGCACCUGAAGUCGGUAACCGUAAGGAGCCGCCUAGGGUGAAACUGGUAACUAGGGCU
rnacentral:rRNA from 1 species